UACGAAGGGGGCUAGCGUUGCUCGGAAUUACUGGGCGUAAAGCGCACGUAGGCGGCUUUCUAAGUCGGGGGUGAAAUCCUGGAGCUCAACUCCAGAACUGCCUUCGAUACUGGAAAGCUCGAGUCCGGGAGAGGGAUGCGGAAUUCCAGGUGUAGCGGUGAAAUGCGUAGAUAUCUGGAGGAACACCCGUGGCGAAGGCGGCUCUCUGGGACGGUACUGACGCUGAGACGCGAAAGCGUGGGGAGCGAACAGG
rnacentral:rRNA from 1 species